rnacentral:rRNA from 1 species
AACGCGAAGAACCUUACCUGGCCUUGACAUCUACGGAACCUUGCAGAGAUGCAGGGGUGCCUUCGGGAACCGUAAGACAGGUGCUGCAUGGCUGUCGUCAGCUCGUGUCGUGAGAUGUUGGGUUAAGUCCCGCAACGAGCGCAACCCUUGUCCUUAGUUGCCAUCAUUCAGUUGGGAACUCUAAGGAGACCGCCGGUGACAAACCGGAGGAAGGUGGGGAUGACGUCAAGUCAUCAUGGCCUUUAUGGCCAGGGCUACACACGUGCUACAAUGGCAGGUACAGAGGGAAGCCAACGCGCGAGCGGGAGCCAAUCCCAGAAAGCCUGUCGUAGUCCGGAUCGGAGUCUGCAACUCGACUCCGUGAAGUCGGAAUCGCUAGUAAUCGCAGAUCAGCAUUGCUGCGGUGAAUACGUUCCCGGGCCUUGUACACACCGGCUAC